rnacentral:tRNA from 1 species
AAAGGUAUGGCUUAGUGGUAGAGUGUGUGCUUAGCAUGCACAAGGGCCUGGGUUCAAUCCCCAGUACAUUCA